rnacentral:rRNA from 1 species
UUAAGCAUAUCAAUAAGCGGAGGAAAAGAAACCAACAGGGAUUCCCUCAGUAACGGCGAGUGAAGCGGCAACAGCUCAAAUUUGAAAUCUGGCUCUCGGGUCCGAGUUGUAAUUUGUAGAGGAUGCUUUGGGUGUGGCUCCGGUCUAAGUUCCUUGGAACAGGACGUCAUAGAGGGUGAGAAUCCCGUACGUGACUGGUUGCCUUCGCUCAUGUAAAGCUCCUUCGACGAGUCGAGUUGUUUGGGAAUGCAGCUCAAAAUGGGUGGUAAAUUUCAUCUAAAGCUAAAUAUUGGCCAGAGACCGAUAGCGCACAAGUAGAGUGAUCGAAAGAUGAAAAGCACUUUGGAAAGAGAGUUAAACAGUACGUGAAAUUGUUGAAAGGGAAGCGCUUGCAACCAGACUUGCAAUCUGUUGAUCAUCCGGGGUUCUCCCCGGUGCACUCGGCAGUUUUCAGGCCAGCAUCGGUUUGGGUGGUGGGAUAAAGGCCUUGGGAAUGUGGCUCUCUUCGGGGAGUGUUAUAGCCCAAGGUGCAAUGCCGCCUACCUGGACCGAGGACCGCGCUUCGGCUAGGAUGCUGGCGUAAUGGUUGUAAGCGACCCGUCUUGAAACACGGACCAAGGAGUCUAACAUCUAUGCGAGUGUUUGGGUGUCAAACCCAUACGCGUAAUGAAAGUGAACGGAGGUAAGAACCCUUAAGGGUGCACCAUCGACCGAUCCUGAUGUCUUCGGAUGGAUUUGAGUAAGAGCAUAGCUGUUGGGACCCGAAAGAUGGUGAACUAUGCCUGAAUAGGGUGAAGCCAGAGGAAACUCUGGUGGAGGCUCGCAGCGGUUCUGACGUGCAAAUCGAUCGUCAAAUUUGGGUAUAGGGGCGAAAGACUAAUCGAACC